GUGAGUGUAGCUGAGUGGUAGAGCACAUGCUUAGCAUGUUGCAGGCCUGGGUUUGAUUCUCAGCACCACA
rnacentral:tRNA from 1 species